rnacentral:rRNA from 1 species
UACGAGGGGGGCAAGCGUUGUUCGGAAUUAUUGGGCGUAAAGGGUGCGUAGGCGGUUUGGUAAGUCUUAUGUGAAAUCUACAGGCUCAACUUGUAGUCUGCAUGAGAAACUGCCGGGCUUGAGUAUGGGAGAGGUGAGUGGAAUUCCUGGUGUAGCGGUGAAAUGCGUAGAUAUCAGGAGGAACACCAAAGGCGAAGGCAGUGUCCUGGGGAGUACCUGACGCUCAGGUGCGAAAGCCAGGGGAGCGAACGGG